GUGUUCACCAUAUAAAAUUAUAGCACCAUUAUUAAUUUUCUAUUAGUCCUCACAAAUAAAACAUCCCCUCUCUAGGUCCUCUAUUUUGACAAAUAAAUUUAUCAAAUUAAUCCCUAUAUUGAACCCCAUGAACCCCCUUUUUCCCUUAUAAUAACAAUAAGAACACAUAAACGUGUACACAUUAGUUACUGCCUUUUAGGUAAAUCAAUUCUUGGGUUUCAAUUAUGUGAUAUUUUAGCAUAAUCUGAGUGGGGGUCAGUCAUUGAUAAGGACACAUCUAACAUGUUUGUGUGAUGUUACUCUGAGUGUAUAUCCACACCGGGCAGGCUUGAAAAAUAUGCCUGGCCACGGCGGGAUUCGAACCUACGACCUUUGGAAUACUAGCCCAAUGCUCUUCCAUCUGAGCUACGCGGUCAGGUCGGUUCGAGUGUGCGAUAUUUCGGAACAAAGUCACUUAGUUCCUUCGAUAUCAGUGUAAUCUAUAUAAUAAUCAUGAAAUCUAUAUAAUAAUCAUGAAAUCUGCUGUGUUGGUGUAAUGUACUGUACUCAGGUGACAUCACAGAGUAGAGACAUACAGAGCCGUAACUGACCGUCGUGAACACUGCGGAAGCUUACGUUUUCAUGUACCCACUUUUUUCAGUGCAAAAGAUCGGGCAAAAAAUGAUCAACUGCGCGUGCUCAGUAAGUUUAAAGUGAGUCGUCAUCAGGUCAUCAUCCAAUCAGUUGCAUGCAUCUAGUAACUUGCCGAGCAUGCGCACAAAAAAAGUGGGUACACUAGUUACAACUCUGUAUGUCUCUCCUCUGUGCUCCCAUGCAAUAGUUUUUGUAGUAAUCAACGGUAGGGUUUAAUUAAAUUAAAUAAUUUAAAAUCCUAUUCGUAUCAUAAUCUUAGCUCAGUUAACUAUAAAAUUGCUUAAAUUCCACCCACCCCACCCCUCAAUGAUGUUGCACCACUUUAUCAUAGCUUAGUAAAAAAAACAAAAAACAAAAAAAACCCAAAAAAACAAAAAAAAACCCAAAAAAACAAAAAAAACAAACUGUAUUAUAGCCUGUUGUUAUAUUGCAUGGGUCAUUAUCAAGACAGACUAGCAUGGAUGCAAUGCUCGCAGCGUUUACUGAACAGUAGAAUAGUUACUACUUCUAAAAUAUGUGGUCGGUUUUGGAGAAUAAAAAAUUUGGUUUUGGGGAUGGAGUGCUCCCAUAGGUCACCCUCAUCCCAUAGACUCACAAAUCGAUGUACCAUACAUUAAAAAUGUUAGAUUGAAGUAUAAAAUGCCCAACAUGGGGACCCAGACCCCCUGAGGGCAUUAAUUGCAUUAGAGUCCAACAUGGGGACCCAAACCCUCUGAGGACCGCCCAACAUGGGGACCCAAACCCCCUGAGGGCAGUAAUUACACUAGAGUCCAACAUGGGGACCCAAACCCCCUGAGGAUUGCCCAACAUGGGGACCAAAACCCCCUGAGGGCAUUAAUUACACUAGAGUCCAACAUGGGGACCCAGACCCCCUGAGGACAGCCCAAUAUGGGGACCCAGACCCCCCGAGGGCAUUAAUUAGAGUAACUGUGAGUCUGUGGGGUGACACUUUGACCAGUUGAAAGUAUAUAUUCGGAGCAUUUCUCCCCAACAACCCUUCUCCCACAACAUUGUGUGUGCUUUACUGUCUCAUAUAUAGCUCUCUUAAAUAUUAACUAACCGAAUUGAGGCAUUAAUUUACGAUAACUUUUACGAUAUUUUUAAUUACCGUCAUUAAUUCUUCACUAAAACGUUU